GGCCAGACUCCUACGGGAGGCAGCAGUGAGGAAUAUUGGUCAAUGGGCGCGAGCCUGAACCAGCCAAGUCGCGUGAGGGAAGACGGUCCUAUGGAUUGUAAACCUCUUUUGUCGGGGAGCAAAAGACGCCACGCGUGGCGUUCCGAGAGCACCCGAAGAAAAAGCAUCGGCUAACUCCGUGCCAGCAGCCGCGGUAAUACGGAGGAUGCGAGCGUUAUCCGGAUUUAUUGGGUUUAAAGGGUGCGCAGGCGGAUUUUUAAGUCAGCGGUCAAAUCGUGGGGCUCAACCCCAUCCAGCCGUUGAAACUGGCAGUCUCGAGUUGGAGAGAAGUAUGCGGAACGCGCGGUGUAGCGGUGAAAUGCAUAGAUAUCGCGCAGAACUCCGAUUGCGAAGGCAGCAUGCCGGCUCCACACUGACGCUGAGGCACGAAAGCGUGGGUAUCGAACAGGAUUAGAUACCCCCGUAG
rnacentral:rRNA from 1 species